rnacentral:tRNA from 2 species
GCCUGGCUGGCUCAGUCGGUAGAGCAUGUGACUCUUGAUCUCAGGGUCAUGAGUUCAAGUCUCAUGUUGGGUG